CGUGCUUAACACAUGCAAGUCGAGCGGUAACAGGCGUAGCAAUACGUGCUGACGAGCGGCGAACGGGUGCGUAAUACAUGGGAAUCUGCCCUUUGGUGGGGAAUAACCCGGCGAAAGCCGGGCUAAUGCCGCAUAAGAUCUUCGGAUGAAAGCGGGGGAUCGUAAGACCUCGCGCCGAUGGAUGAGCCCAUGUCGGAUUAGCUAGUUGGUGAGGUAACGGCUCACCAAGGCGACGAUCCGUAGCUGGUCUGAGAGGACGGCCAGCCACACUGGGACUGAGACACGGCCCAGACUCCUACGGGAGGCAGCAGUGGGGAAUAUUGGACAAUGGGGGCAACCCUGAUCCAGCAAUGCCGCGUGAGUGAUGAAGGCCUUAGGGUUGUAAAGCUCUUUUACCCGGGAUGAUAAUGACAGUACCGGGAGAAUAAGCCCCGGCUAACUCCGUGCCAGCCGCCGCCGUAACAC
rnacentral:rRNA from 1 species